CACGUAGGGUGCGAGCGUUGUCCGGAAUUAUUGGGCGUAAAGCGCGCGCAGGCGGUUCUUUAAGUCUGAUGUGAAAGCCCACGGCUCAACCGUGGAGGGUCAUUGGAAACUGGAGAACUUGAGUACAGAAGAGGAAAGCGGAAUUCCACGUGUAGCGGUGAAAUGCGUAGAGAUGUGGAGGAACACCAGUGGCGAAGGCGGCUUCUGGUCUGUAACUGACGCUGAGGCGCGAAAGCGUGGGGAGCAAACAGG
rnacentral:rRNA from 1 species